rnacentral:hammerhead_ribozyme from 1 species
GCACUGCUGAAGAGUCCCAAACUAGGACGAAACAGGUGUCCAGGAC